rnacentral:rRNA from 1 species
GACGAACGCUGGCGGCGUGCUUAACACAUGCAAGUCGAACGGAAAGGCCCUGCUUUUGUGGGGUGCUCGAGUGGCGAACGGGGGAGUAAAACGUGAGUAACCUGCCCUUGACUGUGGGAGAACUUCAGGAAACAGGGGCUAAUACCGGAUAGGAGAUCCUGAUGCACGGGGGGGGUUGGAAAGUGUGGGCGGUGGUGGCUGGACUCGCGGCUUAUCCGCUGGUUGGUCGGGUAGUGGCUGACAAAGGUUUUGACGGGUAGGCGGCCUUGGAGGGUGGCCGGCCACCUUGGGCCUGAGGUACGGCCCAGACGCCUACGGGACGCAGCAGUGGGGAAUAUUGCACAAUGGGCGGAAGCCUGAUGCAGCAACGCCGCGUGCGUGAUGACGGCCUUCGGGUUGUAAACCGCUUUCGCCUGUGACGAAGCGUGAGUGACGGUAAUGGGUAAAGAAGCACCGGCUAACUACGUG